rnacentral:rRNA from 1 species
UACGAAGGGGGGCUAGCGUUGCUCGGAAUUACUGGGCGUAAAGCGCACGUAGGCGGAUACUUAAGUCAGGGGUGAAAUCCCGGGGCUCAACCCCGGAACUGCCUUUGAUACUGGGUAUCUCGAGUCCGGAAGAGGUGAGUGGAAUUCCGAGUGUAGAGGUGAAAUUCGUAGAUAUUCGGAGGAACACCAGUGGCGAAGGCGGCUCACUGGUCCGGUACUGACGCUGAGGUGCGAAAGCGUGGGGAGCAAACAGG